ACCCAUGGUUUUGUAUACGAAACAUGUGGGAUACAAACUGGACAACUACGCAAGAACCAUGAAAAGCGAGAGCUGACUUACUUUUGAAGCCAUAAAACACAACGGCGGCAAAUCCAAGAGCCUGAAAAAGGCACAUUAAAGGCACCAAAAACCAGCAGAAUCAUUUUCACCCUCGGAAAAUCAAGGGGCUUGCAUGACUCUGGCCCUGGUUUUUCCUCUUCCAGUAUAAAUAGUGGUUCAGCAAUCCAGUUUUCUUUCAGAGAAAAAGGAUCAGUUGAUUGAUAAGAUAAAUCUUGGUUUUCUCUUUCCAUGGCUUCUCUUGUACUUUUAUUGUCUGAACUUCUUCGCCACCAUGAACCAAACUAUGCUUUUGAAACACCACCUCCCUCCUCCUCUUGCUUUUCUUCUCCACCUCCUCCUGCUUCUCGUGGUGCGUCGAUGUCUUUUGCUGCCAAGAAACCGUUGAGAAAUGAUGCCAGCAUGUACGAGUCAGAGAUUGUAAAGGAAGAUCCGCAAGAGCUAAGGGUCUCUGUUGACCUAGUCUGGCCUUAGUGGUGAUGCUAGAAUUCCAUUCAAGCCCCAACCAUGUUCUUUUGUCAUCUUUAGUUCAUGGUUUCUGCAUGAUUUCAUCCUCAAACAAGGCAUCUUUGGUGAUUAUUAUUUUAUGUACAAAUUUGGCAGCCAUCUAGCUCUCAGGAUGUACCCCAGUAAUGAGCCAUUCCUUUUUGUGAAACCACCGACUCAUGGUGAAAAUCUCAAUGUUGCAGUUUCAUAUUGUAGUUUGAGAUUCUCACUUGGUCUUACUUUUAUUUAAAUUCUUUAUUCUCUUGUGUAAAAUGAUUGUAUGGCAAAGCUAUUUUCCAUUUUUAUCUUCUUCAA